UCAAAAACUAUGAUUGAGGAAAGUAAUUUUCAUUAAAGUCUGCAGAGAGUCGGUAAGGGUGAAAGCCGAUGGUGAUAAUGAUGAUGAAGUUCCCUCAGGAGUUGUUUUGCUCAACAGGAUUGAACGAUCCUUAUUAGGCAAAACCGGUGACUCUUGCCGUUAUCAGAAGAGGGAACAUGAACCAUUAUGGUGGGAGUGUUCGGUAACAAGGGGAUUAUUAAAUAAUCAAAUUAGGUGGUACCGCGAGUAAGGCUCGUCCUUUUU
rnacentral:ncRNA from 1 species